AUAAAAAGUAAAAUCUAAGUAAAGGUGAAAAAGGGUUUUCAUUCUCACGAUACUUCCGAUUCGAACACAUGGUUCUCAUUCGCGGUUCCAUUCAAUCUCCAUCAUUUUGUGGUUGAAUUCAAAUUUCAACGUUGAAAUUCAAUGAUGGUUUUAGAUCGCAUUCCACUCUUCAACUUUCUCUUGACUUCGGUGUCUCUUCAGCCAGAUUUCAACGAUGCUCAAAUCAAAUCUGACACAACUUGCCCUUGCAAACAUCUGACUGAUUGAGCUUCAUUUUUUUGGUACUAAAUCGGUAAGGUUUUGGUUAAUUUUGUUUAAUUUUCUCAACUUGCUGAAGCAGUGAUGUAUUUGUUGUUUUUGCCCUUACCGGUUGAAGAGAAGAAAAAUGCGGAUUUCGUCCUCGCUCGCAAGGUGUUCGAUGAAAUGUCCCAACCGGGUUAUUUCUUCUUUUUGCUUCAGUUUUGAUUUUCUCAAGUGAUAAUAAUAUAUUGUUAUUAUCUCAAUUGCUAGAGUACAUAGCUAUCUACAUUUCAUUUAUCUACACUCUUUACAAUUGUAAAUUGCUAGAAGUACCUAACCGAAAACAGAAAAAGUGCAUCACUGGUAGCAUAUGAUGGGCAGUAAGCGUGACUGAUCUACUUUGUUACUCUACAGUAUGGGCGAAGGUGAGAACAAUGAAGCAGAAGUGGCUGUGAUUGGAUUUUGGAGUGGAUUUGCUUGGUUGGCUGGAAUGACUGUUCAUUGCUAUAUUGUCUGAAUAUGUGGUGGAUACAAUUGAGGAAACUGGAGAAUUUGAUUUGGAACUUGACAAGCCGACUAGGACUAAUGCGCCAAGGUGGAAAGUUAAGUUUAUCAUAUGAAGCAGAGAGAUAUCAACUUUAUUCCAUAAAGGUUUUGCACUUAACAUUACAUUGUUUAUUUUUUAUUUAUAAUUUAACUUUAACUUACUAAUCAUAAUUUGAUAUGGUUAAUUAGAAUUGGUCCCUAUUUGUACCAAUUUUCAUUCAUUACAUGUUAAUUUCUAGCACAUGAUUUGUCUUUUGGAGAAAACCAUUGUUGCAUAACUUUGGUGAUUAUGUAUACUAUUUAGUAUUUAGUAGAAGCAAUACAUAUCUAGAGACUGUAUAAUUUUUUUUUUAAUUUUUUAAAUAAUUUACCUGCGGAUUUUUCUGCGGAUUUUUCCUGCGGAUUUAGCUGAGGAAUUACCUGCGGAACUUCCUGCCGAAAAUAUUACCCACGAAGGUUUUAGCUGGGGACGAAAAACCGCAGGAAAAUCCGCAGGUAAGGUGUUUCCUGCGGAAAUUUAGCUAAAAUCCGCAGGUAAAUCCGUAGGAAAUUUGAGUAUUUCUAGUAGUGUUAUGUCGAAAAUAUCCGAACUCUAAAAUAUCAGAAUAGUAUUAUUGAAAUGUUAGUAAGGCAUAUAACUCAUAUAAUCAACUUCAAGCUAAUCAUAACUAACUGCCUAUGAAACACGAAUAAAUCAUGUAGCACUCUCACCAAUAAACGCGAUUUGGAGAAGCGAAACUCAUUGCUACUCAUCCGUUCACGGGCAUUGGAAAGAAUGUUACUGCAAUUCCAACCUGUAGUAGUGAGCAGGAAAUUGUCAUGUUUCAUAAAAUGCAGAACUGCAACAACAAAGAGACCCAUCAUAAUUAAUUUCUGCCUCAUAUAUUAUUUACAAACCAUGUGAAAUUUGCAAACCUAUUCGUAUUUUUGUGAGUUAAACAUUCUUAUCCUUGUGCUUCCAAGAUCUGUUACACAUUACAAUCAAAACAAUUUCAUACAAAAACAGUAAAUAUCUCAAACAGGUUUUGAAUAACAAACAAUUCAAAACAAAAAUAAAAUAUUUUAAAGAAUCAAAUAAACAAAAACACUAUCAUAUGAACAUGAACAUAUAUAAAUAGUUACAGACAUACAUACCCCAUUCAAAUGCCUCCUUCCAGAAGCAAAGCAA